rnacentral:misc_RNA from 1 species
GGAGGGAUCAUUAACACGUUUUAAUACACGUUUUAUUACCAACCAACCACGUGAACUAUUGAAAUAUAUCCGACCUGAAAAACUGAGAAUCUGUCUAAUAUACACUUAGUGAUGAGUGCUCUUUGGUUUACUAAAGAGUGCGGUGUGUGUUAGGCUAGUAACACAUAUAUGUAUGUUUAUUUAUACAUAUAUGAUUUUACAGGACCUCUUUCUUUCAGGCUUUAAUCUACCAUUAUUCUUUUUCAUCACUAGGAAUGAACAAACCCCUUUCACCACUUUAUACCUACUUGACUGAUAUACAUCUUAUUUUUCCUAUUAAUUUCAUUAUUAAUAUUAAAGAUCUGAUAAAUUUAAUCAAAUAUCUAAGCACAACUCUUAGCAACGGAUAUCUUGGUUCUCGCAACGAUGAAGAACGCAGCGAAAUGCGAUAUGUAAUGCGAAUUGCAGAAUUCAGUGAAUCAUCAAAUCUUUGAACGCAAAUGGCGGUCUCGGGUUAGUCCUGAGACCACGCCUCUCUCAGUAUCGGUUCAACCUCACCUCGGAUGCGUAGGCAGAUACAAUUCUUUUUAUUAAAAACAAAAAGAGUUGUGUGUUGAUUACGUUUGCACCUCCGGAGAAUGAGAGUAAUAUUGCUUGACCAGAACACACUGUCAAAGGUGUGUUGUGGAUUGACGCGGUAUUUCUCUUGAAAAUUGUUGAGCUGUGAUCGAAUAGUAACCUUGAACAAUUCAUUUUGUUCAAUAGCCUAUUCUGCUAUUUCAACACUUUUACUAGUGAACGUGGAUAAUUUCAUGUCUUAACGGAUGUGAAUUGAAACGUCUCACAUAAGUUUAAGAGUUGAUUUUUUAUAUAGCGGAGCAGUGCGAAAUAUCUAAUUGAUCAUUCUAUCAAGCGAAGUGAAUUAGCUUUUAAUUGUAUUAAAAUUUUAACUCAAUUUCUCGAAUUAGAUCUGAGAUGAAGCGAGGAGACCCCCUGAAUUUAAGCAUAUUAUUAAGGGGAGGAAAAGGAACUAACAAGGAUUCCCCCAGUAACGGCGAGUGAAGCGGGAUGAGCUCAAGUUGAGAAUCGGUGAUCCAUGCGGGUCGUUCCGAAUUGUACCCUAGAGACGUGUGAUCAGCGUGUGACCCAGGUCCAAGUCCUUUGGAAGAAGGCAUCAGAGAGGGUGAGAAUCCCGUUCUAACACCUGGAGCUCGCCGCGUACGAUGCAUGUUCACAGAGUCGAGUUGUUUGGGAUUGCAGCUCUAAAACGGUGGUAAGGUUCAUCGAAAGCUAAAUACAGGCGAGAGACCGAUAGCGAACAAGUACCGUGAGGGAAAGAUGAAAAGAACUUUGAAAAGAGAGUUAAAAAGUACUUGAAAUUGCUAAGAGGGAAGCGCUAAAAACCAGUGUGACUGCUCUCAUUCUGCCUAUCCAUCUCUUUGUUUGACUGCGGCGUCUAGUUGGCAACUCUAGUGCUGUAGUGAUAAAUGAGGAGUGGGUGGGUCCUGUGAGAGUAGCGCGUCAGGAUCAGUUCAGAUUGUGCAGGAGAGGAUGUGGAUAGAAGGUAGGGUUGGCAACAACCUGUUAUAUCUGUCUCAUUCGACUGUGCUCCGGACUGAGGAAAUAGUAAUGGUGCGCCACUAGGCUUGUACCUCUGUUGCUUUGUAGCUCGAAUGGUUUGGAUGACAAUGUCAUGCGGUCGUUCGAGUUGCACACGCAGUGGAACGUCUCGAUGCACCCAUCACGAUUCUGACUAAAUGGUUUUUAUCGACCCGUCUUGAAACACGGACCAAGGAGUCUAACAUAUAUGCGAGUAUUUGGGUGAAUUAAACCCGCAUGCGCAAUGAAAGUAAAAGUGAGCUUGUCUCACUGAGGUAGGAAUCCUGGGUUCAUCCCUGGGAGGCACUAUCGACCGAUCGUCACUUGUGAAAGAUUUGAGUCAGAGCAUAUCUGUUGGGACCCGAAAGAUGGUGAUCUAUGCCUGAACAGGGUGAAGCCAGGGGAAACUCUGGUGGAGGCUCGUAGCGAUACUGACGUGCAAAUCGUUCGUCUGAUUUGGGUAUAGGGGCGAAAGACUAAUCGAACUAUCUAGUAGCUGGUUCCCUC